rnacentral:snRNA from 1 species
UAGACAUACCUUCAAGUGUUUC